GGUCUGUUGGUCAAGCGGUUAAGACGCCGCCCUCUCACGGCGGAAACAGGGGUUCGAUUCCCCUACAGACUG
rnacentral:tRNA from 2 species